UCCCCACCUUCCUUUUGUGGUAUUGAACCUUAUGGUAAAAUUUCAUUGAGAUCCAUUCACUUAAACUUAAGUAAGAGUGCGAAAACUAAUGUGUCUACGGACGACGACGCCAACGUCAUACCAAUAUACGACCACAAAAUUUUUUUUGCGGUCGUAUAAUAAGGAGAUGAGGUAUGAUUGCUAAUGGGACAACUAAUAUGUUGUCUGGCAGGGUUCAUCUAACCUAGACCUCGUUUGUAUGGUUCAUUGGUCAGUGUUCAAUUUUGUUAUUAAGUCUGUUUCUCGGAUACUAAAAGCAAUAGACUAACUAUAAUUAUGGUAGUGUCACUUUUACCGUUCUUGAGUUAUGUCCCUUUAUAACGUUAUAUGCAAGCUCGGGCAUCAUCUGUGUCCCAUGGACACAUCCCCAUUUAUUUAUGGAAGCUUUGGGACUUUGACUUUUUUUAAAGUAUUGUUACAGGACACCUUGUGAUCAUACCUUUUGAGACCAUUUUACAGAAAGGUCUCAUACUUGGUAGGAUUGUUGGCCAUAAUGUGUAGUUGACUAUUUUGUACCACCAUUUUUAUUUGACAAGAGUCUGGGGUAUACAGCAAUCCUUGUGUCCAUCCAUCUGUCUUGUCUGUCUGUUCAUCCGUCACACUUUUGGUUUCCAGUUGAUAAAUAGAAGACUUCUUUUUUGAUUGAAUUGAAAUUUUAAAGCCAUAAAGAAUGUUUUGGACCACUAAAGAAUGGUUAAUUUCAGUUUUGUUGUAUUCUUCACUUUCACCUUUCCAUAUUUAUGGUAUUGAAUGUUGAAAAAAUUCAAACUGUGGUUUCCAGAUGAUAAAUAGAAGACUUCUUUUUUUAUUGAAUUGAAAUUUUAAAGGAAUGUUUUGGACCACUAAAGACUGGUUAAUUUCAGUUUUGUUGUAUUCUUCACUCUCACCCUUCCAGAUUUAUGGUAUUAACUGUUGUGGUUUCCAGAUGAUAAAUAGAAAACCACUUUUUAUACGACCGCAAAAAAAUUUUUUUUUUUGCGAACGUAUAAUGGUAUGAUGUCGUCAUCGUCUGCGUCGUCAUUCGAAGACACAUUGGUUUCUGGACAAUAACUUUAGUUUAAGUUAAUGGAUCUCUAUGAAAAUUUUGAGAAGGUUCAAUACCACAAAAGGAAAGUUGGGAUUGAUUUUGGGGAUGAUGGUCCCAACCGUUUAGGGAUUAGGGGCCUGAAAGGGCCCAAAACAAACAUUUUUCUAGUUUCAGGAUAAUAACUUGUGUAUAAGUAUUUCGAUUGCUCUGAAAUUGUACAAUGUUUAAUACCACAAGUAGAAGGUUGGGAUUCAUAUUAGGGGUUAUGGGGCAAACAUUUUAGGAAUUAAGGGCCCAAAACCAACAAUGUUUGUAGUUUCCGGACAAUAACUUGUGUGUAAGUGUAUGGAUCUCUCUGAUAUUGUACCAUAAGGUUCCAUAUCACAAAGGGAAGGCUGGGAUUGAGUUUGGGGGUAAUUGCCUCAAACAUGUAGGAAUUAGGGUUUCAAAUUUUUUUAAGGAUGUCAUAAUUUUUUCAAAAAUUUUCAAAUUUUAAAUUUUGUAAAAGUUUCAAGAAGUAAUCUUCAAUUGCACAGUAUUGCGCAAUAGAUUUGUAAGAUCUUUUACCAUAUUUAUUUUGUGUCAGAAACUUAUAUUGUGUCAAAAAUUUGAUCACAAUCAAAAUUCAGUCGGUAUCAAGCUUGAAUAUUAUAUCCAAAUUUGCCCUAACUGUUCAGGGUUUCGACCUCUGUGGUCGUAUCAGGCUGCGCUCAGUGAAGCAUUUUAUUGAAAUUAAUUUUAAUGAAAUAUUUUGGAACACUAAAGACCAGUUAUGUUUGAUAUUUCAUUGUUUUCACUUAUAUCACUCCAGAGUUAUAGUACUUGAUUGUUGGAAAAAAUAAAAAUAAAAUAUUUUUGGUUUCUAGAUAAUAUCAAAUAUUGAAGCUCUUUUUCAAAUUGAUUGAAAUUUAAUGGAACAUUCGGACCACUUUAGAAAAUCCUGAUCUGCAGAUGGAUGGAAUCUGUGAUCACUAGAUCACCUCUCUAGAGUAAUUGGACUUUGACCAUAUUUUGUAGUAUUGUAACAAUGACACUACGAAAGCUACUCCUUUGAGACUGUUUGACAGAAAAGUGUCAUACUUAGUUGGAUUGUUUGCAGUCACAUGUAGAUGACCAUAUUAUACCAGGGGCGGAUUUUUGUGGGAAAAAUGUUGUUGCUUAUUUAGGGAAUACUAAAGCAUGACUGUAGCGGGGCCCCCUCUUGUGGCAGUCAGUGCCCAACCCCUUAUGAAAAUUUCUGAAUCUGCCACUGUAUACAGUCAUUUUGAUUAGGUCAUUUUUCUGGGAGUAAGAGAACUUAAACCAUUUUUUGGAAUAUCAUAAUUCAAUAACACCUGUGAAUUCAACUCUUAUGAGACUGUUUGAAAAUAUUUCACAACUUGGUAGGAUUGGUUGCCAUCAUAUUCAACUAUAUUGUACCCCAAUAUCGAUUCUUUCAUUUAGAACUAGAGAAAUGUGUUUUUGUCCAUUUUUUCUGCUAUUGUACCACUAUGACACAACUACAUAAACUUGAAAAACAUUUUAUAGAGAAACAAUAAUCCUAUUUACUGAACAUGCAUCAGUGGAGGACAUUUUGCAACAGUAUAGAGAUCUUGUCUUCAGGUUGCUGCGUCAUUAACAUCUUACAUAUUUUAUUUAUAAAUAAAAAAAUCUCUAUUACAAUAUAAAAAUAAGUAGAUGUGGUAUGAUUGCCUAUGAGACAACUCUCCACUGGAGACCAAAUGACACAGAAGAUUGGAACAGUAGGUCACUAUACAGCCUUCAACAAUGAGCAAAACCCAUACUGCGAAGCAAGCUAUCAAAGGCUCUGAAAUGACAAAUGUAAAAGGUUAAAGCGAGAAGCAAACUGCCUGAUUUAUGUAAAAAGAAUAUAAUGAAAAAUUGUCAGAUUGUGAAUUAAAUAUUGAGACUAAAUUUUGGGCUCUUCAACAGCACAAAUGUAAAUGUAAAGAGUAUAUACAAGAGAAAACAUUAUUUGUAUAGUUCCUUAUGCCAUAAUGAUCUAAAUGCUUCAUUGUGGUAAGGUUUCCUAUACAAUAUUGGUAUAAGGUAACAUGUAAUGUGUAUAUUAUGUAAAGCAGUGAUUAAAAAACAGAUGGAUAUAUACCGGAAAGUAAAAGACCAGCAAUGAUACAAAGAGUGUAUUUCAGGACCAUAUUUUAUGUUUUUGUUUCUAUAAAUGAUAUACCAUUCUCUGCACCUUCUAUUGCAUUUCACAAUAAUUACCUUAAUUUGACCAAAUUUUAUAAAUUUUAAACUGUUAGACUAAAUUGAGGUAUUCUCUGUAUUUACUUCAUUUUAUAAAGCACAGCAUGAGCUUUUGCCUCACUUUGUGUGUGUCUUUGUUCUUCUGAAAGCUUUCAUAUUGUUGUGAAGGUCCUGAAGUUUUGAUAUCUUGGUGAUCGUAAGAUGGUUGCCAUUGUAGGUCAAAGUUUACCUUGAACGGAAAAUGCAUUUUGAUUUCCUGAACAUGAAUGAAUGUAGUAAAUAAAAAAACUUUGCAGAAAUGUUACCUGGUACUAUUUAACCACGUGGUUCAACUUCUGAUGCCAAGGGUAAUUUUUUUUAAAUUUCAAGUCUUCACAAACUUUUUAUACGACUGCAAAAAAAUUUUGCGGUCGUAUAUUGGUAUGACAUUGGCGUCGUCCGGCGUUGUCGUCAUCCGAAGACACAUUGGUUUUCGCACUCUAACUUUAGUUUAAGUGAAUGGAUCUCUAUGAAAUUUUACCAUAAGGUUCAAUACCACAAAAGGAAGGUGGGGAUUGAUUUAGGGGGUUAUGGUUCCAACAGUUAAGGAAUUAGGGGCCAAAAAUAAGCAUUUUCUAGUUUCCAGACAAUAACUGUAGAACGGUGUAUGGAGCUCUCUCUGAAAUUAUACUACAAGUUUCCAUACCACAAAGGGAUGGUUAGGAUUUGCUUUGGGGGGUUAUGGCUCAAACCGUUUAGGAAUUAGGGGCAAAAAAGGGGGAAAAACAAGGUUGUCCUGGUUAAUGGACACAUACUUUAGUACAAAACAUAAUUUAAAGCAGUGUAAGGGAGAUAAAUCGAACAAUUAAGAUAAUUUAAAACAGUGUAAGGGAGGUAAUCCAAAUACAACGUUUUGGUUACUUCCCUUACACUGCUUUUAAAUUAUGUUUAAAGAAAUGCAUA